AGUUAAGUAUCUUAAUUGGUAAAGGUCCCGACAUGAUGUUGGGGGGAUUGCGAGUUCGAGUCUCGUCUUAACUA
rnacentral:tRNA from 1 species